UGUGGUGCUUUUGCGUUUCAGGGGUCCCAGGCCAGCUUGUGCUUCUGAUGAUCCAUACUUCCGGGGCGACGUCAGUAUGCCUUGCAGUUUGCAGUGCUGGGACUGCUAUGCCAACUCCUGGCGUGCAUCCUUAUAUUUCAGAUAUCUUUCUUUCUAGGAUUUGUUGGUAAUUCUUUGUCUCAACAUUGAGUUUGAUCUAUGCAAAACAAAUAGGUAGCAAAAAGGUAGUGUGUACUAUAUCCGCACACCAGAAGUUCCAUGUGGUUUAUUUGUAUUUCACAUCUUCUGAAGUUCAUAAAAAUAUUCAUGGUUAGUAGUGGCUUGCUGAAUUAUACCUAAAGUUAUGCUCAUCGGCUCAUAGUAAGCUGUUCAGUUGUUCGUAUUCAGGUAACUUGCUAUAUUUUGUUUUAGCUAGCUUGACCAUAACGCCGUUCGGGAUUUAUUUUGCACCGCUGGCGUUUCCAUUGUGACAGUUGGAGAUUAGGCGGUGACGGUGUCUUCAUCUAAAGAUAUGCUGGGCCUACUUCGUGAUCAAAGAGAAGAAAGAUAAAAAGGUAGCACAACACGCACACACCCCAAAAGAUCAAUCUAAUGAUCGAAGCAGACGACACAUUUUAAUUGCUCCAACGAUGUGUCAUCUAGCAUGUUGUGUUCUUCACUUCUUCUAUAGAAACACCAAAGAUUUCUACAUCCAUACAGUUGACAGUUGGUAUUCUCCAUACAAAACACGAUUGUCGGUUUUA